rnacentral:misc_RNA from 1 species
GCAAACUUGGUCAUUUAGAGGAAGUAAAAGUCGUAACAAGGUUUCCGUAGGUGAACCUGCGGAAGGAUCAUUAACGAGUUUCGUUGGGGGCGGUGCCGGAAACGUGCACGCCCCCUUCAAACCCUCCACACACCUUCUGUGCACCUUUAUGAGAUCGUGUGGGAGUUUCCUUUCUCCUCGCGAUCUGAUCGUCUUUGACUCCCUUAAGAGCGAAGGAACGUAAAGAUCAUAACAAAAAAAACAUAACUUUCAACAACGGAUCUCUUGGUUCUCGCAUCGAUGAAGAACGCAGC